CCCUUAGAUGUCCUGGGCCGCACGCGCGUUACACUGAUGCAUUCAACGAGCUUAUAACCUUGGCCGAGAGGCCUGGGCAAUCUUGUUAACGUGCAUCGUGAUAGGGAUAGAUUAUUGAAAUUAUUAAUCUUGAACGAGGAAUUCCUAGUAAACGCAGAUCAUCAAUCUGCAUUGAUUACGUCCCUGCCCUUUGUAUACACCGCCCGUCGCACCUACCGAUUGGAUGGUCCGGUGAAGCCUUGGGAUUGUGGUUCUUGCCGCUUUAUUGUGGCGUGACCGCGAGAACUUGUCUAAACCUUAUCAUCUAGAGGAAGGUGAAGUCGUAACA
rnacentral:rRNA from 1 species